GGGUUGAUACUCAAGCGGUCAACGAGGGGAGACUGUAAAUCUCCUGGCUUCGCCUUCGUCGGUUCGAAUCCGGCUCAACCCACCA
rnacentral:tRNA from 1 species